GAUGAACGCUGGCGGCGUGCCUAAUACAUGCAAGUCGAGCGAAUGGAUUGAGAGCUUGCUCUUAUGAAGUUAGCGGCGGACGGGUGAGUAACACGUGGGUAACCUGCCCAUAAGACUGGGAUAACUCCGGGAAACCGGGGCUAAUACCGGAUAACAUUUUGAACCGCAUGGUUCGAAAUUGAAAGGCGGCUUCGGCUGUCACUUAUGGAUGGACCCGCGUCGCAUUAGCUAGUUGGUGAGGUAACGGCUCACCAAGGCAACGAUGCGUAGCCGACCUGAGAGGGUGAUCGGCCACACUGGGACGGAGACACGGCCCAGACUCCUACGGGAGGCAGCAGUAGGGAAUCUUCCGCAAUGGACGAAAGUCUGACGGAGCAACGCCGCGUGAGUGAUGAAGGCUUUCGGGUCGUAAAACUCUGUUGUUAGGGAAGAACGAGUGCUAGUUGAAUAAGCUGGCACCUUGACGGUACCUAACCAGAAAGCCACGGCUAACUACGUGCCAGCCGCCGCAGUAA
rnacentral:rRNA from 1 species